rnacentral:rRNA from 1 species
GAUGAACGCUGGCGGCGUGCCUAAUACAUGCAAGUCGAGCGAACGGACGAGAAGCUUGCUUCUCUGAUGUUAGCGGCCGACGGGUGAGUAACACGUGGAUAACCUACCUAUAAGACUGGGAUAACUUCGGGAAACCGGAGCUAAUACCGGAUAAUAUUUUGAACCGCAUGGUUCAAAAGUGAAAGACGGUCUUGCUGUCACUUAUAGAUGGAUCCGCGCUGCAUUAGCUAGUUGGUAAGGUAACGGCUUACCAAGGCAACGAUGCAUAGCCGACCUGAGAGGGUGAUCGGCCACACUGGAACUGAGACACGGUCCAGACUCCUACGGGAGGCAGCAGUAGGGAAUCUUCCGCAAUGGGCGAAAGCCUGACGGAGCAACGCCGCGUGAGUGAUGAAGGUCUUCGGAUCGUAAAUCUCUGUUAUUAGGGAAGAGCAUAUGUGUAAGUAACUGUGCACAUCUUGACGGUACCUAAUCAGAAAGCCACGGCUAACUACGUG